UGGUGAGUUGAUCCAAGAGGUCCGCAUCGGGUACCUCAACCCUUUUAGCCGCCGCAUCAAUACCACCGUCUCACAGCCGCAGACGGAACCAUCAUUCAAUUUUCGCGAAUCCACCGCCAUCUCUCAGUUUCAUAGAUCCAGCCGCCCAUCGGGUUCCUUCGUAAAAGGUCGGUAAUCGAUUCCAUGAUAUACCAUUGCAGCCGUUGACAUAGAGAUUGCCAUGGAAGCGUCUGUUUUCAUUCUUUCAGAACCACAAGCAAAACCGAGACCGAACUCAAUUCUUCGAAACCCUCAGUUGCUUCUUUGAUCUGAGCCGAAUAAGUCAAAUAGCUUCUCUGAUUAUCUGGCUUUCAAUUUAUAUGUAUAAUAUAGAGUUUUGGGUGGGAGCUAAAGUCACAGUGGAACGAGAGAGGAGUGAUUCGCGAAUCAGAGCUUUUUGUCUAUACGAACGCCUCUGUGGUGUUGGAUUAUAGAGAUGAGCUCGGAAAGUAGUUUUGAUUUUGUGAAGCUCUGGCCAUGGUUCUGUGCUCUACAGCGGAGAAGGAUUCAACUUUGGAAAGCUCUGAGUUUUUAGGCGGCUUGUCGGGUGACUCAGAUUUAGCUUUUAAGGCUGGGAAGCACCAGUAAAGGCCGUUCAGGAUGAGGAAGUCAUCAAGCAUAAGCUCUGUGAAGAUUUAAAUAGUAUGUUACAAGAAAGCAUCAAUACUCAGUUUUCAAGGCUGGAGGAGUUAAAAAGACGACUUGAAGGAGGCUGGAGGAGUUAAAAAGGCUGGGAACCCGACCAGAGCAUCAGCUCGGCUUCUCUUGAUGGGAAUGAAGUGUUCUUUAUGAUCAAAAGAAGCACCCAAUUAACUCAAGAAGCUGAUGAAUGCCUACUGUGACCGCCAAUUUGUGGAGCUCAGUCAAUUUCCUUCAUAUUUGACCGUCGUCAAUUGCCUUAAUGAGCUUGAAAUGGAAGAACGGAUGAGAUUGAUGCUAUGGCACCGGACUGGAUUAGCUGCACAGCUUUGAAUAUAUUAUUUUAUGGAAGACCGAUUGUGUUUUAUCAAUCUCUAGGUUUUAUGAAGUGUUAUGAUUCUUCUGUUUAUCUAUUUUGAACUUGCUGGUCUCUCGUUGUCAGCAACAUAUUAGAAUUGAUGUGAUGUGAAAUUAAAAAAAA